rnacentral:rRNA from 1 species
GACGAACGCUGGCGGCGUGCUUAACACAUGCAAGUCGAACGGAAAGGCCCUGCUUUUGUGGGGUGCUCGAGUGGCGAACGGGUGAGUAACACGUGAGUAACCUGCCCUUGACUUUGGGAUAACUUCAGGAAACUGGGGCUAAAACCGGAUAGGAGCUCCUGCUGCAUGGUGGGGGUUGGAAAGUUUCGGCGGUUGGGGAUGGACUCGCGGCUUAUCAGCUUGUUGGUGGGGUAGUGGCGUACAAAGGCUUUGACGGGUAGCCGGCCUGAGAGGGUGACCGGCCCCAUUGGGACUGAGAUACGGCCCAGACUCCUACGGGAGGCAGCAGUGGGGAAUAUUGCACAAUGACCGGAAGCCUGAUGCAGCAACGCCGCGUGCGGGAUGACGGCCUUCGGGUUGUAAACCGAUUUCGCCUGUGACGAAGCGUGAGUGACGGUAAUGGGUAAAGAAGCACCGGCUAACUACGUG